ACGAAUCGCAUGGCCUUGUGCCGGCGAUGGUUCAUUCAAAUUUCUGCCUAUCAACUUUCGAUGGUAGGAUAGUGGCCUACCAUGGUUUCAACGGGUAACGGGGAAUUAGGGUUCUAUUCCGGAGAGGGAGCCUGAGAAACGGCUACCACAUCCAAGGAAGGCAGCAGGCGCGCAAAUUACCCAAUCCCGACACGGGGAGGUGGUGACAAUAAAUACUGAUACAGGGCUCUUUUGGGUCUUGUAAUUGGAAUGAGUACAAUUUAAAUCCCUUAACGAGGAACAAUUGGAGGGCAAGUCUGGUGCCAGCAGCCGCGGUAAUUCCAGCUCCAAUAGCGUAUAUUAAAGUUGUUGCAGUUAAAAAGCUCGUAGUUGAACCUUGGGCCUGGCUGGCCGGUCCGCCUCACCGCGUGCACUGGUCACGGCCGGGCCUUUCCUUCUGGGAGCCGCAUGCCCUUCACUGGGUGUGUCGGGGAACCAGGACUUUUACUUUGA
rnacentral:rRNA from 1 species